rnacentral:rRNA from 1 species
UACGUAGGGUGCAAGCGUUGUCCGGAAUUAUUGGGCGUAAAGAGCUCGUAGGCGGUCUGUCGCGUCUGCUGUGAAAACUCGGGGCUUAACCCCGGGCCUGCAGUGGGUACGGGCAGACUAGAGUGCGGUAGGGGAGACUGGAAUUCCUGGUGUAGCGGUGAAAUGCGCAGAUAUCAGGAGGAACACCGGUGGCGAAGGCGGCGCUCUGGGCCGGUACUGACGCUGAGGAGCGAAAGCGUGGGUAGCAAACAGG